AUGGAAAACAAUACUGAGCCUGAUACGAAGAGGUGGGUUUUUGCCUUGUUGGAUAGCUUACCUCAUGGAGAUUUCACUAGAGUGCUAGUUACCCUAUGGGCGAUUUGGCACGCGCGCCGCAAGGCCAUUCACGAACAGAAUUUUCAGUCCCCACAUGCUACCAACCAUUUCAUCAACACGUAUUUACGUGAGCUUAAUGAGUCCAGAGUAAAAAAGAAACCGGCCGGUUCUUCUACGGCCAGCACGCACUUGAGGCGACGACGGAUCCCGCUGGUUGCAGGCUGCUGCAAAAUUCAUGUUGAUGGGGCUACUUCGCGUACAUCAAAUGAUGGGUCUAUAAGUGCCGUUUGCAGGGAUGACAUGGGAAAGUAUCUUGGUGCAUCAGCAGUAAGAUACACAGGUAUUAAUGAUCCGGCGACACUCGAAGCCUUGGCGUGCAGAGAAGCUCUCUCCCUUGCCCUCGACCUCUCACUAUCUCAUGUGUUGGUAGCCUCAGAUUGCAAGGAGGUUGUCGCGGACAUACACAAGGGCACGGGCGGCCGUUACGCGAGCAUUGUUAAAGAGAUCAUCUCCCGAGGUUCACAGUUUUCAGCAUGCUCCUUCAUCUUCGAAGGGCGCGAGACAAACUUUGAGGCGCACAGCCUCGCCAAACACACUUUGGGACUCUCUCCGGGACGCCAUCUCUGGCUACUUAAUCCCCCGGAUUUAUCUUGUAUUCCUAUGUAUUUGGAUAUUGAUCAAUAA
rnacentral:rRNA from 1 species